rnacentral:lncRNA from 1 species
GGGAGAGCUCCGAGAACAAGAUCAUGCCUUCGAUGUUGUUGUAUUCAAGGAGCGAAACGUAGGCACCCAUGUCGGCGAUGUUCUUCACUUGUAUCAUCACCGCCAUGUCCACCUCAGGGUACUUCGCUUCGUACAUACGACAUUCAAGGUUCGGCAUCUUAUUCAAACUUUGAAUUCCUUUUCUUUGUUCUUUGGAUUCGACUCUUUGAGGGAUUUUAUUUUUGGGGGGCUUAGGGUUUUCAGAAGCUGUUGCCUGGACUGGUCAGACUUGAGUGAGGGAAAAAAGACAACAAAUUUAGUUUCUGAUGUGUUCAAAACGACGUCGCUACGAACAAGGCAGGUAGCCACUACCUAGUACGGGAUUAAAAAAAAAAAAGAACUAACGCCCACCGUGGGGCUCGAACCACGACCACAAGGUUAAG